rnacentral:rRNA from 2 species
ACAGUGGCUAAGACUGGAUAGGAAGAUAAAAGGCAUCUUUUAUCUUUUAAAAGACCUAGUAAUAGGUAUGCUUUAGGAGGGGCUUGCGCCAUAUUAGUUAGUUGGUAGGGUAAUGGCCUACCAAGACGAUGAUGUGUAGCUGGACUGAGAGGUUGAACAGCCACAUUGGGACUGAGACACGGCCCAAACUCCUACGGGAGGCAGCAGUAGGGAAUUUUCGGCAAUGGAGGAAACUCUGACCGAGCAACGCCGCGUGAAUGACGAAGUACUUCGGUAUGUAAAGUUCUUUUAUCAAGGAAGAAAAGCAAAUGGCGAACCAAUUGUUUGCCGGUACUUGAUGAAUAAGCCCCGGCUAAUUAUGUGCCAGCAGCCGCGGUAAGACAUAAGGGGCAAGUGUUAUCCGGAAUUAUUGGGCGUAAAGGGUGCGUAGGCGGUCUAGUAAGUCAGUGGUGUAAUGGCAACGCUUAACGUUGUCCGGCUAUUGAAACUGCUAAACUUGAGUUAGAUAGAGGCGAGUGGAAUUCCAUGUGUAGCGGUAAAAUGCGUAAAUAUAUGGAGGAACACCAGAGGCGUAGGCGGCUCGCUGGGUCUUAACUGACGCUGAGGCACGAAAGCGUGGGGAGCAAACAGGAUUAGAUACCCUGGUAGUCCACGCCGUAAACGAUGAGUACUAAGUGUCGGGUUAAACCGGUACUGAAGUUAACACAUUAAGUACUCCGCCUGAGUAGUACGUACGCAAGUAUGAAACUUAAAGGAAUUGACGGGACUCCGCACAAGCGGUGGAUCAUGUUGUUUAAUUCGAAGAUACCCGAAAAACCUUACCAGGUCUUGACAUGUUUUUGCAAAAUGAUAGUAAUAUCGUGGAGGUUACCAGAAACACAGGUGGUGCAUGGUUGUCGUCAGCUCGUGUCGUGAGAUGUUAGGUUAAGUCCUAAAACGAGCGAAACCCUUAUCGUUAGUUGCCAGCACGUUAUGGUGGGGACUUUAACGAGACUGCCAAUGAUAAAUUGGAGGAAGGUGAGGAUCACGUCAAAUCAGCAUGCCCCUUAUGACCUGGGCUACAAACGUGAUACAAUGGCUGUUACAAAGGGUAGCUGAAACGCAAGUUCUUGGCCAAUCCCCAAAAACAGUCCCAGUCCGGAUUGAAGUCUGCAACUCGACUUCAUGAAGUUGGAAUCGCUAGUAAUCGCGAAUCAGCAUGUCGCGGUGAAUACGUUCUCGGGGUUUGUACACACCGCCCGUCAAACCACGAAAGUUGGC